UGUUGCAGUUAAAAAGCUCGUAGUUGGAUUUCUGCGGGGGCGGGGCGGCCGGUUGCUUAUAGCAACUCGAGCUAGCACUUCCCCUGCAUCCUGCCGCGAACCGUGCUACCAUUAGUUUGGUGGCGCCGGGGAUCGGCUCGUUUACUUUGAGAAAAAUAGAGUGUUCAAAGCAGGCACACGCCUUGAAUAAGUUAGCAUGGAAUAAUGAUAAAGGACUUCGGUUCUAUUUUGUUGGUGUUCGGGACUGAAGUAAUGAUUGAUAGGGACAGUUGGGGCGGUCCGUAUUCCAAAGCGAGAGGUGAAAUUCUUAGACCUUCGGAAGACGAACAGCUGCGAGAGCGUUCCGCAAGGAUGUUCCCUUUGAUCAAGAACGAAAGUUGGGGGAUCGAAGACGAUCAGAUACCGUCGUAGUCUCAACUAUAAACUAUACCAGCUAGGGAUCGGCCAACGUUUAAUUACACCGACUUGGUCGGC
rnacentral:rRNA from 1 species